AAUCGUCUCCAACGUGGUGACCUCUCUCUUGAAGCUUACGAAAAUGUUUCAAUCUGGCAUGUGCCUAUUUUGGCAAUGACUGCUGAUGUGAUUCAGGCUACAAAUGAAGAGUGUCUGAAGUGCGGAAUGGAUGGAUAUGUCUCCAAACCAUUCGAGGCCGAGCAGGUAUAUACGGAAGUUUCCCGCUUUUUUCAUGCAGAGUCGAACGAAGAUUAUUGGGAAGAGUCUUCUGAUUGAUGCUCACGAUGAUGCAAGCUGAAGGCGCACCUUAGAGUGUUCAAAUUUGUAGUAAAAUUUUCUACGACUGCUUCAAUUGAACCACGAAUCGUCAAAUAUUCUUGGUGGGAUGUCGUCGAAUGUAGCUAAAUCUGACGCAGUCGGAGAGCAAAUUUGCAAAUAUUGUGAAAAAUCGCAUUCUUUAUCAACAAAGUAGCGCACGAUUUAGGAUGAUGGACAGUAAUAGAGUCGACUAUAGCAGGUAGAAACUGGGACGAGGCCAAUGUACUUAUUUGUAUGGAUUGAUUUGUAGCGUGCAAAAUGUUUGUUCGUUAUAGAACGUAAAGGAGCAAUCUUAAAGAACAGGCUCUUUUUUCAUUUUUUUUUU